rnacentral:rRNA from 1 species
CAAUAGCGUAUAUCAAAGUUGUUGCAGUUAAAAAGCUCGUAGUUGGAUUUCGGGGCAGCCUGGCUGGUCCGCCGCAAGGCGAGUACUGGUCAGCCGCCCUUCCUCUCGAAAGCCCCGACUGCUCUUCGUUGCAGUGGUCGGGUAGUUCGGGACGUUUACUUUGAAAAAAUUAGAGUGUUCAAGGCAGGCCUACGCCUGAAUACAUUAGCAUGGAAUAAUGGAAGAGGACCUCGGUCCUAUUUUGUUGGUUUCCAGGGCCGAAGUAAUGAUUAAGAGGGACAGUUGGGGGCAUUCGUAUUUAAUUGUCAGAGGUGAAAUUCUCGGAUUUAUGAAAGACGAACAACUGCGAAAGCAUUUGCCAAGGAUGUUUUCAUUAA